CAAAACUGACAGCUGUAUGAAACUGGACAAGUACACGUGACUGCUGGAAGAUGGAAUGCAAGUUGCCGGGAUUGUUGACAUUUUUACUCGUUGUUCGGGAAUGUUUUUGUAGUAGCGAUUUAUAUACCGAUAACUCCAUUAAGUAUGACGAAGAAGGAUUUAGAAAGAAUAUAGGAAAUUCUGUACAUUUUGUUAAAUUUUACGCCCCUUGGUGUGGCCAUUGUAAGCGACUUGCACCAAUUUGGGAUGAAUUGGCAGAGAAAUACAACAGACCCGGAGAAGAGAAGCUUGUUAUUGCUAAAGUUGAUUGCACAAUGGAAACUGCUCUCUGUUCAGAACAAGGAGUCACUGGUUAUCCCACACUAAAAUUUUUCAAGAAAGGUACAAUCGAAGGACAUAAGUACAGAGGUCCACGAGAUAUUGCUUCUCUAGAAGCUUUUAUCGCUAACAGUCUGGGAAAAGAAAACAUCAUUGAAAAGACUCCCGAACCUCCAAAGCCGAUCAACGAUGUCAUUCAACUCACUGAUGACACCUUUCACAAAUUCAUCGAGAGGGGAACUCACUUUGUCAAAUUCUAUGCCCCGUGGUGCGGACACUGUCAGAAACUGAUUCCCAUUUGGAAAGAGUUGGCAAACAGCUUAAAAUUUGAUGGAUCUAUAAAGAUAUCUGAGAUUGACUGUACGGCCCACCAUACGGCCUGUGGUGAAUUCGAAGUCAAAGCCUAUCCCACAUUGCUAUGGAUUGUUGAUGGAAAAAAGGUAGAAAAAUAUGAAGGAUCCAGAACACAUGAAGAUCUGAAACUUUACGUCAGCAAGAUGAAAGAACAGGAAUUUGGAAACAAUAAAGACAGUGUAGAAGGAGCAAUUCCAGAGAGUGUUUCCAGACCAGAAAUGGCAAUUAUACAGCUAACAGAAAAUGAUUUUGAAGAGACGAUAGAAACGGGAGUGACUUUCGUCAAGUUCUUUGCUCCCUGGUGUGGACACUGUCGCAAUUUGGAGCCAACGUGGAACCAUCUCGGACAGAAGUUCUCAAUGAAUGACAGAAUCAAGAUUGCUAAAGUUGACUGCACAUUACAUGAAAAUUUAUGCAGUAAACAUAAGGUCGAUGGAUAUCCCACUCUCCUCCUCUUCAGAAACGGCGAGAGGAUGGCAGAAUACAAGGGAAACAGAGAAUUGCCUUCACUGCACGAUUUUGUGCUGGACCAUCUACCUCACGAUGAACUCUAAGCAUUUCAUCUUCCCACAUUGAUGAAAUUCCCUAAUUAUAAUUGCAUUAUCUGAAGAAAAUCUACACUUCCUAAAUACUGUUUUGGUUUUAAAUUUCUAAAGUUAAAUUUAAAAAUAUCUUGGAAUCAGGUCCAGAUUUAAAUUAAAUAUCUCAUCAUUUCUUAUGUUUAAUCUGUCAGAAAGACAGAAUAUUCAUAUUCUGCAUUGUAGUUAUCAAAUUCAAAAAUUAAUUAUAUAAUUUUGAUAACUGUGAGAUGUGGAUUUAUAAGAUUGCUUUGCAAGGUAGGAUGUUACCUUUAUACAGUAUGAAUCUCUCAUCUACACAACAUUUAAACAAUUUAGCACAUGAGAUAAAUUUAUUAGCAUAAAUUUUCAAAAACUGUUUGAUGCUCAUCCAGUUACUGCAUAUCGAAUGCCAUGUCUCGGACACUUAUUGGCCAAGACAUCACAUUCGUACAUCUCUCGAGCGUGUCUUUAUAUUGUUUUGUGGUGAGCAAUUCUGAGUAUCAAAGCAAAUUUUUUUUGUUCCAUGAUUUUUUAAACAGCUUUCAGAAUGUAGUACACAUCUGCAACAUUAUUUUGUAUUGAAAUUUAAGAACAAAUGCACUACCAUAUCAGAUUUGUAGAACCAUAGAAUAUUCCAUAAUGCCAGAUUUCAAAUGUUAUAAUUAUAUAAUGUACCGAGGAUAGACUUACCUAGAAAUAGAUGUUUGGUUAAUAUUUAUAAUGAUAAAACUAUCGCCCAUUGACGGUCAGGAGUUUAACAAAUGCAUUUACCCCAAUGAAUGAAUAAUUAUAAGUUUUGUCGUCACUUGUUCAUACACAAUGUUAAUUAUGGAGUUGUAAAAAAAAAUGUAUUUUUAUAAAUAAAGCUGAUGACAUAUUGUGUAUUGGGUAA
rnacentral:misc_RNA from 1 species